ncrna:unclassified sequences pemK RNA
AUAAUGAUACUUCCGUCCAGUCACAGCCUCAAUCAAUGAGGUCACGCAGUGAGGGCGGCUCGUGAGAACCACAGAGAGGUGAGAGUCCUAUGA